UUCCACAAUCCUCACCAAACCAUAUGCUAUUUGUUGAAACAGGAAUCUCACCAUUAUUCAUAGAAACAUUGCGACUUCAUUUCAACUUCAUUGCGAAAACUAUGGUACUGGACAGAGAUAGGUUGACCAAACGAAUAGCAAGUUACGUGAUAGAGAAGAGAAUAUUGUUUUAUGAACAUUGGAAAGCACUCGCAGAGCUCGCUGGUCACACUUUAAGGAUUACUAUGGAUAAUAUCCAUCAAUGGAAGGAAGAGUUCGAUAAUUUAAUUAAAGUGGUAGAUGAAAAAAUGCGAGCGGAAAGUAUUGAAAAAGCACUAACUUCAACCCAUCGCGAAAUAUAUGCCAGCUUAAACCAUAAUCUUUGCGAAGACAACUAUUUUAAUGAAAAAUAUUCAACUGAGAAGAUUUGCAAAUUUUGUGGAAAACAUGUAUCACUUCCUGGGAAGAUGUCUUGUCUUAAAACAGUUCAGGAUUCAUUUUUUUGGGAAACUAGAACUGGAGGAACCAGAAAGGAAAAUGAUUUUAAAUGGCGCUGACUGGGAAAAAUUGAACAACUAUUGUCAACAAGCAUCGAAAUAUAGAGAGCUAUAAUUGAAGAAAAAUUUGAACAUACCUUUUACAAUACCUUAUUAUGUAUAUUUUGUUAAACUCGGGCAGACGGCUUUAAUAGUCAUGUCUUAAAAUUAAAGAAUAAUACUUUUUUGUAAACUUAAAUUUGAAAAAUAAACAAUAAAUCCAUCUAAAAAAAAUAUGUAAUAAAUAAAUAAAUAAGUUAAAUAUAAUUAAUAAAAAUUGACUUUCAAAACAAGCCUUCCUGGAGCAUUCUAUUCCAAAUAGGUAUACUUAAAUUUGCAAAAGUCUUAAAAUUCUUUGCUAAAGGAAGUUACUAAUUGAGCGUUGGAAACGACUUUAAUAUUGGGAUGGCACAACCAGCAGCGGUGUCAGUCGUACUAAGUGAAUUACUUCGGGUUAAAUUCUGAAUUUCACUUACAACACCAGGACUCUUUUCCAUUAACUCAAUUAUUUCUAUUCUGCUCUUAAAUAAAGGAAUAUCAUGUUAAAAAGCAAAGUAAGUUUCAAUAAUAGCAACUCACAUUUUCGUACAAAGAAUUUAUUCUUUAGUUGCUAAAAAAACAAAAAAUACUUCGAACUUGAAACGUCAAACAAAAUAAAUAUAAAUCAUUUACAAUGAA